ACGGGAGGCAGCAGUAGGGAAUCUUCCACAAUGGGCGCAAGCCUGAUGGAGCAACACCGCGUGAGUGAAGAAGGGUUUCGGCUCGUAAAGCUCUGUUGUUGAAGAAGAAUGUGCAAGAGAGUAACUGUUCUUGUAUUGACGGUAUUCAACCAGAAAGUCACGGCUAACUACGUGCCAGCAGCCGCGGUAAUACGUAGGUGGCAAGCGUUAUCCGGAUUUAUUGGGCGUAAAGCGAGCGCAGGCGGUUUUCUAAGUCUGAUGUGAAAGCCUUCGGCUUAACCGAAGAAGUGCAUCGGAAACUGGAUGACUUGAGUGCAGAAGAGGGCAGUGGAACUCCAUGUGUAGCGGUGGAAUGCGUAGAUAUAUGGAAGAACACCAGUGGCGAAGGCGGCUGCCUGGUCUGUAACUGACGCUGAGGCUCGAAAGCAUGGGUAGCGAACAGGAUUAGAUACCCUGGUA
rnacentral:rRNA from 1 species